CGAAAUGUUAGGAAGAGGAAGAGUACAGAAUUGACCCCAACAGAGAAGAAAGCCAUUUGCUGAAAGGUUUUCUAGGAUUGUCUAUUUUGGAAUGUCGCCUCAGAUGCAGCUUCUCAGAAAUAGUAGUAAGAGCAGCCGGUGAAGAAUCGUUAUAUCAUUAAUGAGUGUGCAUGUAAGCUUAUUUAUACAUGCAAAUGAAGGUGGUACCACGGAAACUAAACCCUUUUCGUCCUUUAA
rnacentral:ncRNA from 2 species